UACGUAGGCAGCGAGCGUUGUUCGGAGUUACUGGGCGUAAAGAGUGCGUAGGCGGUUUUCUAAGUGAGAUGCGAAAUCCAACGGCUCAACCGUUUGGACUGUAUUUCAUACUGGCAUGCUUGAGGACAUGAGAGGCAAGUGGAAUUUGUAGUGUAGCAGUGAAAUGCGUAGAUAUUACAAGGAACACCAAUGGCGAAGGCAGCUUGCUGGCAUGUAUCUGACGCUGAGGUACGAAAGCGUGGGGAGCGAACAGG
rnacentral:rRNA from 1 species